rnacentral:rRNA from 1 species
GAUGAACGCUGGCGGCGUGCCUAAUACAUGCAAGUCGAGCGACCAGACGAGGAGCUUGCUCCUCUGACGUUAGCGGCGGACGGGUGAGUAACACGUGGAUAACCUACCUAUAAGACUGGGAUAACUUCGGGAAACCGGAGCUAAUACCGGAUAAUAUAUUGAACCGCAUGGUUCAAUAGUGAAAGACGGUUUUGCUGUCACUUAUAGAUGGAUCCGCGCCGCAUUAGCUAGUUGGUAAGGUAACGGCUUACCAAGGCGACGAUGCGUAGCCGACCUGAGAGGGUGAUCGGCCACACUGGAACUGAGACACGGUCCAGACUCCUACGGGAGGCAGCAGUAGGGAAUCUUCCGCAAUGGGCGAAAGCCUGACGGAGCAACGCCGCGUGAGUGAUGAAGGUCUUCGGAUCGUAAAACUCUGUUAUUAGGGAAGAACAAAUGUGUAAGUAACUAUGCACGUCUUGACGGUACCUAAUCAGAAAGCCACGGCUAACUACGUG